AUCCCGCUACAGCUAUUCUCGGCAGUUCCUGACUUUCUUUGAAGAGUGGGACACGGGUGUGCGGAAAACCGCGAAACAGCAGGAAAGACUAACUAGGAUGCUUCACGACCACCGAAGGCUUUUCCUGCAAGCUAAAAAUGUUCAAAUGGAGACGCUGACUACAGUUAAGAACCUGUAUGAGGAAUUCUUAAAGGGUAUCAACGACUUGGAGCUGAGCCAGCAAAGCCUGCUUACUGAUGAGCAAAAGAAGCUCAAAAACGAAAUUGACAUCUUGAAGAACAAAAUUAUUGCUGCAACUG